rnacentral:rRNA from 1 species
AAAGUGGCGAACGGCUGAGUAACACGUGGGCAACCUGCCCUUUGCACUGGGAUAGCCUCGGGAACCGAGGUUAAUACCGGAUACUCCAUAUUUGUCGCAUGGCGAAUAUGGGAAGCUCCGGCGGCAAAGGAUGGGCCCGCGGCCUGUUAGCUAGUUGGUGGGGUAGUGGCCUACCAAGGCAAUGAUGGGUAGUCGGGUUGAGAGACCGACCGGCCAGAUUGGGACUGAGACACGGCCCAGACUCCUACGGGAGGCAGCAGCC